UACGUAGGUGGCUAGCGUUGUCCGGAUUUACUGGGCGUAAAGAGCGCGCAGGCGGUCGUUCAAGUCGAGUGUGAAAGCCCCCGGCUCAACUGGGGAGGGUCACUCGAUACUGAUCGACUUGAAGGCGGGAGAGGGAAGCGGAAUUCCCGGUGUAGUGGUGAAAUGCGCAGAUAUCAGGAAGAACACCAAUGGCGAAGGCAGCUCUCUGGGACGGUACUGACGCUGAGACGCGAAAGCGUGGGGAGCGAACAGG
rnacentral:rRNA from 1 species